AAUACUGUGAGAAACAUGAGGUAAACUGAGCCACAGGGAGGACUGCAAUGUCAACCUCACCUAGAUGUCUACAAUACCUUACUCCAAAAAGAUUCUCACGGUGACAGAGUUUAGAGAAGAGAUCUGCACAAAGGUUAGCUGUUUGACGGAAGAAUGCCACUUGUAGUAGGCGAGAAGGUAUUCUGGGAGACUAGUUUAACCUUUAAACCAUGUCACUCAACACAGAAGUAUCAAGGAAUCAAAGAAGUCAAAAGAACUGAAAUCUGGUGGAAGAUGGAUCUGAAUAUAAGAUUUUCACAUCUGAAUGGUACCUGAAUGAAUAAUGGUCUUUAAGAAAAAUAAUCUGUUGGAAGAACUCUCUUCUCAUUUGUUCUGAGGAUGGUGUUUAGGACUCCUUCCUAAAGCUAGCUUGAAAACUUGAAACCAUAUGUUCACAAAAAGCCAAAAUAAACUCUCUUGAGAUGUCCA
rnacentral:lncRNA from 1 species